rnacentral:lncRNA from 1 species
GAUCUACACUUACCUCUUGAAGAUCGAGAGGCUAGGUGAUCCUAACGUGGAGAUAUGGAGCAACUCUCUCUCAAAGUCUCCAAGCUUCAAAACUUUGGUUUUUAGCUCAAAAGCUUCAAACAACAUGAAAACUUAUCAAAACUUUGAAAGAUUUGGAGAAAACAUGAAGAUCACCCAAGGAAGAUCAUGGUCUCACCUCUGUCCGUGGAAAUGGAAAGAAAAAUCUUAUCCAUUCACCGAC